rnacentral:rRNA from 1 species
UACGGGGGGGGCAAGCGUUGUUCGGAAUUACUGGGCGUAAAGGGCUCGUAGGCGGCCAACUAAGUCAGACGUGAAAUCCCUCGGCUUAACCGGGGAACUGCGUCUGAUACUGGAUGGCUUGAGGUUGGGAGAGGGAUGCAGAAUUCCAGGUGUAGCGGUGAAAUGCGUAGAUAUCUGGAGGAACACCGGUGGCGAAGGCGGCAUCCUGGACCAAUUCUGACGCUGAGGAGCGAAAGCCAGGGGAGCAAACGGG